rnacentral:rRNA from 1 species
GUGAGGAAUAUUGGUCAAUGGGCGGGAGCCUGAACCAGCCAAGUCGCGUGAAGGAAGAAGGAUCUAUGGUUCGUAAACUUCUUUUGCAGGGGAAUAAAGUGCAGGACGUGUCCUGUUUUGUAUGUACCCUGAGAAUAAGGAUCGGCUAACUCCGUGCCAGCAGCCGCGGUAAUACGGAGGGUCCGAGCGUUAUCCGGAUUUAUUGGGUUUAAAGGGUGCGUAGGUGGUUUGAUAAGUCAGCGGUGAAAGUUUGCAGCUUAACUGUAAAAAUGCCGUUGAAACUGUCGGACUUGAGUGUAAAUGAGGUAGGCGGAAUGCGUGGUGUAGCGGUGAAAAGCAUAGAUAUCACGCAGAACUCCGAUUGCGAAGGCAGCUUACUAAGCUACAACUGACACUGAAGCACGAAAGCGUGGGGAUCAAACAGGAUUAGAUACCCGGGUAGUCC